AGUCGAGCGGAACGAGUUAUCUGAACCUUCGGGGAACGAUAACGGCGUCGAGCGGCGGACGGGUGAGUAAUGCCUAGGAAAUUGCCCUGAUGUGGGGGAUAACCAUUGGAAACGAUGGCUAAUACCGCAUGAUGCCUACGGGCCAAAGAGGGGGACCUUCGGGCCUCUCGCGUCAGGAUAUGCCUAGGUGGGAUUAGCUAGUUGGUGAGGUAAGGGCUCACCAAGGCGACGAUCCCUAGCUGGUCUGAGAGGAUGAUCAGCCACACUGGAACUGAGACACGGUCCAGACUCCUACGGGAGGCAGCAGUGGGGAAUAUUGCACAAUGGGCGCAAGCCUGAUGCAGCCAUGCCGCGUGUGUGAAGAAGGCCUUCGGGUUGUAAAGCACUUUCAGUCGUGAGGAAGGUAGUGUAGUUAAUAGCUGCAUUAUUUGACGUUAGCGACAGAAGAAGCACCGGCUAACUCCGUGCCAGCAGCCGCGGUAAUACGGAGGGUGCGAGCGUUAAUCGGAAUUACUGGGCGUAAAGCGCAUGCAGGUGGUUUGUUAAGUCAGAUGUGAAAGCCCGGGGCUCAACCUCGGAAUAGCAUUUGAAACUGGCAGACUAGAGUACUGUAGAGGGGGGUAGAAUUUCAGGUGUAGCGGUGAAAUGCGUAGAGAUCUGAAGGAAUACCGGUGGCGAAGGCGGCCCCCUGGACAGAUACUGACACUCAGAUGCGAAAGCGUGGGGAGCAAACAGGAUUAGAUACCCUGGUAGUCCACGCCGUAAACGAUGUCUACUUGGAGGUUGUGGCCUUGAGCCGUGGCUUUCGGAGCUAACGCGUUAAGUAGACCGCCUGGGGAGUACGGUCGCAAGAUUAAAACUCAAAUGAAUUGACGGGGGCCCGCACAAGCGGUGGAGCAUGUGGUUUAAUUCGAUGCAACGCGAAGAACCUUACCUACUCUUGACAUCCAGAGAACUUUCCAGAGAUGGAUUGGUGCCUUCGGGAACUCUGAGACAGGUGCUGCAUGGCUGUCGUCAGCUCGUGUUGUGAAAUGUUGGGUUAAGUCCCGCAACGAGCGCAACCCUUAUCCUUGUUUGCCAGCGAGUAAUGUCGGGAACUCCAGGGAAACUGCCGG
rnacentral:rRNA from 2 species